rnacentral:lncRNA from 14 species
CAGGAUUUGGAGUGCAGGGAUGAGCCUGGAGUUGGAGGAUGUGUAAGGCUCUCUCUUUUACCAAUAGUCAAACAACAGAUGUUUGAAGCUGGCACCUACUUGCAGUCAUACAGUGAAGUAUCUGUACAAUUCAUGGCCUUUUCCUUCAUCUAGAUCUAAUCAGGUAAACCCCAU